rnacentral:lncRNA from 1 species
CUCUUUCCAAAAAAAAAAAAAAAAUCCCAUUGCUGCAAUGGGCAUACAAAUGCUACCCUAUUUUAAAUGUAGGUGGCGUAUGUGUUCGUGUUUUAAUGUAUUCAGAGCCAUUGGGCAAUAAGCAGUCCAGAACAUUGAAAACUCAAGCAGGUAAAGCACCUCACAACCCUUAGUUUCUAGAAUUACUUAAAGAACCUUUUAUAUUGAUGCAUCUCUAAACUUUAAAUUUGCAAGGCUUACAAGCUGUCUAGUUAAGGUUGUAAAAUUAUGUAUUCAUGAUUAUAGGAAUAGGUAGAGAAGGAAACAACAGAAAAUGACUCCUUGAGAUGGCAAUGGCUCAGUGUUUAAAUAAUUGCUCUUUCUUCUUUCUAGUUUUAAUUUUCCUAGCUUAGCAUGAGCAUUGAUCAAACAUUGUUUGAUUUUUUGUGGUUGAGAUUUUUUUUUUAACCCUGAGUUUUGAGGAAGGGGAGACCUGGGGUAGACAUGAAAAAGUUGGCUCACAUGUGAAGAUAGGAACUGUUGAAGAGAAAGUUUUUCUGUUUAAUCUAAACAGUAAGCAAGAACUUUUUCUAUAUACCCUUCUGCUGCAGCAGAGAAAUAAACUGGUAGGUGGCAGCAGAGAAAGGAAUUCUUCAGAUUGACGGCUAUUGACAUAAAAUCUGCAUAGGAGAAGAAAUAGAGUAUGGCAUACCAAGUGAAGGAAUGGGAUCAGAAGUAGAAACAAGACCUCAGACACCAGGAUUUUUACUCUAAAUGGUUCUCUUGAAGAGAUCCUUUGCUUACCUCGCUAACAGGAUGGAUGAAGAAGAUUUGAGUCUGUUUUUUCAAGCGAAGAAUAGAAAUACACAGAACAAGAAAGCUAUAACUCUAACCUAUUUUAGUGUUUUCUAAAAUAAAAACACGAACUGGAAAUAGAAUAAUUUGGAG